AUAGAAAGAUUAAACUGAAGAGUUUGAUCAUGGCUCAGAUUGAACGCUGGCGGCAGGCUUAACACAUGCAAGUCGAACGAUGAAACUCUAGCUUGCUAGAGAAGAUUAGUGGCGGACGGGUGAGUAACAUUUAGGAAUCUGCCUAGUAGUGGGGGAUAGCUCGGGGAAACUCGAAUUAAUACCGCAUACGACCUACGGGUGAAAGGGGGCGCAAGCUCUUGCUAUUAGAUGAGCCUAAAUCAGAUUAGCUAGUUGGUGGGGUAAAGGCCCACCAAGGCGACGAUCUGUAACUGGUCUGAGAGGAUGAUCAGUCACACCGGAACUGAGACACGGUCCGGACUCCUACGGGAGGCAGCAGUGGGGAAUAUUGGACAAUGGGGGCAACCCUGAUCCAGCCAUGCCGCGUGUGUGAAGAAGGCCUUUUGGUUGUAAAGCACUUUAAGCAGGGAGGAGAGGCUAAUGGUUAAUACCCAUUAGAUUAGACGUUACCUGCAGAAUAAGCACCGGCUAACUCUGUGCCAGCAGCCGCGGUAAUACAGAGGGUGCGAGCGUUAAUCGGAAUUACUGGGCGUAAAGCGAGUGUAGGUGGCUCAUUAAGUCACAUGUGAAAUCCCCGGGCUUAACCUGGGAACUGCAUGUGAUACUGGUGGUGCUAGAAUAUGUGAGAGGGAAGUAGAAUUCCAGGUGUAGCGGUGAAAUGCGUAGAGAUCUGGAGGAAUACCGAUGGCGAAGGCAGCUUCCUGGCAUAAUAUUGACACUGAGAUUCGAAAGCGUGGGUAGCAAACAGGAUUAGAUACCCUGGUAGUCCACGCCGUAAACGAUGUCUACUAGCCGUUGGGGUCCUUGAGACUUUAGUGGCGCAGUUAACGCGAUAAGUAGACCGCCUGGGGAGUACGGCCGCAAGGUUAAAACUCAAAUGAAUUGACGGGGGCCCGCACAAGCGGUGGAGCAUGUGGUUUAAUUCGAUGCAACGCGAAGAACCUUACCUGGUCUUGACAUAGUGAGAAUCUCUCAGAGAUGAGAGAGUGCCUUCGGGAACUCACAUACAGGUGCUGCAUGGCUGUCGUCAGCUCGUGUCGUGAGAUGUUGGGUUAAGUCCCGCAACGAGCGCAACCCUUUUCCUUAUUUGCCAGCGGGUUAAGCCGGGAACUUUAAGGAUACUGCCAGUGACAAACUGGAGGAAGGCGGGGACGACGUCAAGUCAUCAUGGCCCUUACGACCAGGGCUACACACGUGCUACAAUGGUAGGUACAGAGGGUUGCUACACAGCGAUGUGAUGCUAAUCUCAAAAAGCCUAUCGUAGUCCGGAUUGGAGUCUGCAACUCGACUCCAUGAAGUCGGAAUCGCUAGUAAUCGCGGAUCAGAAUGCCGCGGUGAAUACGUUCCCGGGCCUUGUACACACCGCCCGUCACACCAUGGGAGUCUAUUGCACCAGAAGUAGGUAGCCUAACGAAAGAGGGCGCUUACCACGGUGUGGUCGAUGACUGGGGUGAAGUCGUAACAAGGUAGCCGUAGGGGAACCUGCGGCUGGAUCACCUCCUUAA
rnacentral:rRNA from 1 species